rnacentral:lncRNA from 1 species
GAUUUCCUAAGUAAAGUGCAUUGUCCACUCAUCUCUGCUCUCCUGCGCCUGACUUCUAUGCACCGGCUACACUCACCCCUUGACACUUUGACCUCUUCCAUCCUUAUGUAAUGCCUGGUCUUGGUUCAGAUGGGUGAUCUUUCGCCUCACACCAACACUUUUUAAUGCAGCUGAACUAGGAGCGGAGGACAAGGCUAACUGGAUGCUCUCCCGAUGCCAAGGAGGGAUGACAGUAGAUGACUAUAAUCUUGAAGACACCGGAUGAACGAGGACAUUUGUGAAAGCUGGAUUUGAACCAGGUAGAGGUGGACAGUGUUGGAUGAUAUGAUGGUCAAGGCUACAGAUGAGUAAUAUAAUGGUCCUGCUACAUGUCACCGGCUGGCUCAUAGCCUGUGGCAAAAAUGAGGGGACAUCAACAACAGGAGGAACCGCCCCUGCACUGCAGAGGAGGAGCCGUGACAUACACGACAGCCAUGGUUUACAGAAGAGGAUGUCUUCCUUAAUUGACCCCUCAUAAACGUAACGGACAUAUACCAGGAGCUGUGCCAGGCCCGCCACGUCUGUUGACUCAUCCAGCUGUUGACUCAUCCAACGCAUAGAAUUCACUGGCUUGUAUGGGAAGCAGUAAUUGUUACGAAACAUCUCCAGCCAUGUCACUGAUGUGUUGUGAAACAGUGUUUGAUGAAGGCAUUGUCUGUAUAGUUUUAUUGGCCUUUUCCCCCAGCAUUGUCCCAGCCAUAUCCGCGGCAGCAGGAAGAAUUAAGUCCUCCACAAUAGUAUGGGGCUUGCCUGUCCUCGCCACUUAGUAGCUCACCAUAUAAGACGCUUAUAGCCCCUUCUUAGUAAUGGUAUCUGUUGCUUUUAUACAUGUUUUACUACUCAAAAGUCGUCUUAAUUCUCACUCAAAAAAUUCCCGUGGCUUAUUUUUCAAAUUGGCAUGUUUUGUUUCUAAAUGUCUGCGCAAGAGUGAAGGUUUCAUCGAGUUGUGAGAUAGUACUUUUACACAUAACACACUGUGGCUGAGGGGGGGGCACUACUCCCAAUAUAAGUGAACCCCAAAUCAAUGUAGUUC